rnacentral:tRNA from 1 species
GGAGAUUUGGCUCAAUUGGUAGAGCAUCUGCUUAGCAAGUAGGAAGCCUCCUGAGUUCAAACUCCA